rnacentral:rRNA from 1 species
UACAGAGGUCCCAAGCGUUGUUCGGAUUCACUGGGCGUAAAGGGUGCGUAGGCGGUCGGGUAAGUCUGAUGUGAAAUCUCACAGCUUAACUGUGAAACUGCAUUGGAUACUAUCCGGCUAGAGGAAUGGAGGGGAGACUGGAAUACUUGGUGUAGCAGUGAAAUGCGUAGAUAUCAAGUGGAACACCAGUGGCGAAGGCGAGUCUCUGGGCCAAAACUGACGCUGAGGAGCGAAAGCGUGGGGAGCGAACAGG